GCUGGGCUCUCUCCCGUGGUGCUGGGGCAGUGGGAGGCACAGAGCGGAAAGCAGCAGACCUAGGCGCCCACAGGUAACUUUCUCGAGAGGAGCUGGAUUCUUUCACUCAAGGAUACAAGGCAGAGGGACGAACUGCGAGCUGAUUGGAUGGAGGUGGCUCUCAGGUGAGCUGCCAUUGGAAGAGGCGCGCUCAGGACCUGAUCUCCAACAGACUUCAGUGGAGCUCUGCCAGUUUAUACAAGCUGAAGAUCUGGCCCACAGUUUGCCCCCUCAGAGUUCCAGCAAGCUCAGUGAAGAAACUACUAGAUUCCCAAAUGGUUCCCUAACAGCCACUUUGCCGCCUUCCUCCAGCGCCUAUGUCCUGCAAUGAUCGCAGCAUGUCCAGAUUGAAGAAUCAGAUCCGUUGUGUUGAAAGCAGACUGCUACCAGGACAGGCAGCAUGGCGUAGCUUUGUGCCUUAUUUAUUCUUUUGCAAGACCAGAUGCUUAUCUAGCUGAACCCCUAUGUUCCUAUACUGCAUGAACUGGCAUAAGUUUAUUAACUGUUCUUUAAUAAAGUUUGUAAAUAGUGGGUACCAGAGCCUUUGUUACCUGCUUCAAAGCUAUGGAAUAUACUGUGUAAUGACAUUACAUCUAUUUCCUUGGUUCCAGUGUUUAAGAGAUAGAUGAAGUAUCUAUGUUUUUUCAAGCCUUUCAGGCAGUUUGAGCUCUGCAAACUCUUCAUACUGUAUAAUGCCUUGAGACACUUUGUAAACAAAUGAGGGUUGUAUUGGAGAUUUUGCUUCCUUUAUUCCAGUAUGGAAAGUAAACAUCGCAGGAUAAACAGGUUUAUUUACAA